rnacentral:rRNA from 1 species
GACGAACGCUGGCGGCGUGCCUAAUACAUGCAAGUCGAACGCUGAAGGCGGAGCUUGCUUCUCUGGAUGAGUUGCGAACGGGUGAGUAACGCGUAGGUAACCUGCCUGGUAGCGGGGGAUAACUAUUGGAAACGAUAGCUAAUACCGCAUAACAGUAGAUAUCGCAUGAUAUCUACUUGAAAGGUGCAAUUGCAUCACUACCAGAUGGACCUGCGUUGGAUUAGCUAGUUGGUGAGGUAACGGCUCACCAAGGCGACGAUACAUAUCCGACCUGCGAGGGUGGGCGGCCACACUGGGACUGAGACACGGCCCAGACUCCCACGGGAGGCAGCAGUAGGGAAACUUCGGCCAUGGGCGGAAGUCUGACCGAGCAACGCCGCGGGAGUGAAGAAGGUUUUCGGGUCGGGAAGCUCUGUUGUAAGAGAAGAACGAGUGUGAGAGUGGAAAGUUCACACUGUGACGGUAUCUGAUCAGAAAGGGACGGCUAACUACGUG